GAGAGGGAAAUGAGAUCACUUGUCAAGAAAUGUACAUUUUCUCAGAAGACCUUGAUGCCACGGAAGCAGCAAGGCACAAAACCAUAAAUGACGGACGGCUGAAGCACACGGGCUCAGAGCUUAAGUUUCCGGGAAAGGAAAGCGGGCGGUGGGUCAAUAACGUCGGAGUCCUCCCUGGCUCCCUGGCCCAAGGCAAAGCCCCUGACCACGGUCCUGACGUUGGCAACACCAGCUCCUUCUUCCUGAACGUUUGCCUGGUUCUGCCGCGAGGCUGGAGUAGACAGUUUCAACCUCCCAGGAACUCCGCAGUACUCUCUGUCUGUGCAGGUCAGGAAACUGAGGCUCAGAAUGAUGGAACAGUUGAUCCAAGUUCACAGAACGACAGAGGAUAGCAAGGCUGGACUUGAAGCCGUCCAUGCCCCGUGUUAACUCCUAGACCAUGUCGCCUGCCCUUCACCCACCGCUGCAGCAGAAAGGCCCCCUCAUUCCUGCGCUUGACUCCAGAAAAACCUUGGCCUUAUCUUCUCAGGGAGGCCUGGCGGAGCACCCAAACGACCACCAAAAUGGUUUAGGCUGUUUGCAGGAGGCCGCGGCCCCGCCGUCUCCACUGCGCUCCUCCAGGCUUUCCCCGCCCGGCUCCAGCCUCAGGAAGUGGCGCCGCGGAGAACCGCUCCUCCAGCCUCGCCUCCUGCGGAGAGUGUCCUCCCCGGGAGCGUUUCCUGACCUAAUUAAGCCGGGUAAUGAGUAGCUAAGAGGAAGGGCAUAAAAGCCCUAGGCGGCUUAGAGCCGGGACACUUUAUGACGGGGGCAUCUGCAGCUGGUGACACUCUUAGGAAAGUUAUUUCUCAUAAUCCUGGGAAGUGGCACACUGUUGCCACAGCAGAGCGAGCCCUGAGGUAAGGACGGGGAGUUAUGUCACCUAGGGGGACCGGCCACAGGGUCCUGAGAGGCGCUGCCUGGUGGGGUGAUGCUGUGUGUCAGGGAAAGGGCUGAUCCCGGCCUCCCGCCCCAGUGCUCCUGGCUCGGCCUCAGGCUGGGGUGUCCUUGGUGACCGUGUGUGACUCCCUGGGGCCUGGGUUUUAUGUUUCAUUUGAAUGAUAGGACUGUGCACUGUGGGCAGUUUCCUAGCCUGGUGUCCGGCUCUGAGGAAGGAAAUCUGAGCCAGACGUUGAUCCCCACUCCCCUUCGGCCCUCUUUUAAGGUGCUCAAAAUUGCAUCCUGGAAAAUACCGAGUGUCCCAGAAGCCCUGGCCUAGAGGACCAGGAAGACUGACAGCAGCUGGCCUAACUGGGUCCCUCAAAGGCCAGAAGUUGACUGUUUCUACCCCCAGCCUCUGCCCCAAGAACUCGAGACCCACCCCAACGCCUCACGCACAGCCUACUACCAAUUCACCUUCUGCUCUUGCACUGUGUCUGUUUUGUUCAUUUGUUUAAAUCAUUUCACAUUCACUCUUGAGUUGGCCACCCCCCACCCCACCCCCACCCCUGCUGCUGUGUGUUGGGGAGGAGCACCCAGUCAGGGCCUGGGCUCUGGAGUGGGUUCCAUCACUAAAGCCCCUGAGUGAGCUUGCUGGCAACAACAUGUGACCUCUCAGCCAUCAUUCUCCCACGUGUAAAAUGAGGGUCUUGGUGCUGCCUUGCCUCCAAUAUGCUUUGAGCCCACAAUCUUCACCCCGUGAGCAGUGGGAAACAUAAUGUGUGAUGGGGGAACACAAGGCUAGCUGAGGACAAGGCACGAGCCUAGAGCAGCACAUUGACAAGUCCUUGAAAGAGGCAGAGGGACUCUACGGACUCAGCUGCCUCGAUGUUCAUGCUUUGCUAAGGGCAGGAGACAAUCCUAGCCUGACCCCUAUGACCCUGAGAGUCUACUUUAACAUAUAAAAAUUCCUUCAGAAAUUUCCUUUAUGUCCAAACCCCCAAUAUACGUGUUGGCAAUCAUCCCCCAAGCACAUGGCCCACCGACAUACAUCUGAAGGGUCUCAUGACUCAGGUUUUAUUAGACGGUAAUAAGUGACCUUUUCCCAAUGAAAGCCAGCCCCCUCAAGGUCCUGGAAACCUUGCUUCCAAAAUUCCUUAGAGAGUACACGAUGCUGAAACCCCUCCCAACUCCCAGGUCUAUAAUCUGCCACAGGCCCCGGGGCAGCAGUCCUUCCUACCCACGGGUCCUGUCCCCUGUGCUUUAAUAAAACCACCAUUUUGCACCA
rnacentral:lncRNA from 12 species